rnacentral:rRNA from 1 species
GACGAACGCUGGCGGCGUGCCUAAUACAUGCAAGUAGAACGCACAGUUUAUGCCGUAGCUUGCUACACCAUAGACUGUGAGUUGCGAACGGGUGAGUAACGCGUAGGUAACCUGCCUGGUAGCGGGGGAUAACUAUUGGAAACGAUAGCUAAUACCGCAUAAUAUUGAUUAUUGCAUGAUAAUUGAUUGAAAGAUGCUAUUGCAUCACUACCAGAUGGACCUGCGUUGUAUUAGCUAGUAGGUGAGGUAACGGCUCACCUAGGCGACGAUACAUAGCCGACCUGAGAGGGUGAUCGGCCACACUGGGACUGAGACACGGCCCAGACUCCUACGGGAGGCAGCAGUAGGGAAUCUUCGGCAAUGGACGAAAGUCUGACCGAGCAACGCCGCGUGAGUGAAGAAGGUUUUCGGAUCGUAAAGCUCUGUUGUAAGAGAAGAACGGGUGUGAGAGUGGAAAGUUCACACUGUGACGGUAUCUUACCAGAAAGGGACGGCUAACUACGUG